UCGCGUCCUUCUGAUCGAUUAUCAUUCUUUGCCCAAACCCUAACUCUGUGUCGCGCCGUUCACCACCCGUCGCCGGAUCUCCUUCACCUUUCUUCGUUCGCCGUCGAUCUCCUUCCCGUGUCCGUCGAUCUCCUUCACGCCGUCGCUCGCCUGUGUCCGUCGAUCUCCUUCACGCCGUCGCUCGCCCGUGUCCGUUGAUCUCCUUCACGCCAUCGACCUACUUCUCUUCCGUGUCCGUGAGAGAAGUUCAAGUUUGACGUGUAAGGCUAAAUUUUGAUUCUUGGGGAUUUGGAAGGAAGAUAGGAAGAUUGCAUUGGACGUGUUUUAAGAAGGUUGACAAGUGGAGAAGGUGCACUCAACAAAAAAGGACUUCAUAACAACAUUUCUAGUUGUUCUAAAUUUGUUGAAGUUGCAUAUUUUACAAUCAUAAUUUUAUGCUUUUAAA